CGGUAGAUGCACCCUGGUUAUAGACUUCAGCCUCACGGCUGAGGUUUUUUUUC
rnacentral:sRNA from 1 species